GACGAACGCUGGCGGCGUGCUUAACACAUGCAAGUCGAGCGGUAAGGCCCUUUCGGGGGUACACGAGCGGCGAACGGGUGAGUAACACGUGGGUGACCUGCCCUCAGCUCUGGGAUAAGCCUGGGAAACCGGGUCUAAUACUGGAUAUGACUCCAUGACGCAUGUUGUGGGGUGGAAAGCCUUGUGCGGCUGAGGAUGGGCCCNCGGCCUAUCAGCUUGUUGGUGGGGUGANGGCCUACCAAGGCGACGACGGGUAGCCGGCCUGAGAGGGCGACCGGCCAC
rnacentral:rRNA from 1 species